UACGUAGGGGUCGAGCGUUGUCCGGAAUUAUUGGGCGUAAAGGGCUCGUAGGCGGUCUGUCACGUCGGGAGUGAAAACUCAGGGCUUAACCCUGAGCCUGCUUCCGAUACGGGCAGACUAGAGGUAUGCAGGGGAGAACGGAAUUCCUGGUGUAGCGGUGAAAUGCGCAGAUAUCAGGAGGAACACCGGUGGCGAAGGCGGUUCUCCUGGG
rnacentral:rRNA from 1 species